GGUUCAGAUCCCGACCUGGCUGCCUCCCCACCCUCGCAGAAAAUAAAGACUUCACUUUUAAGCUUCUGUGAGGAGUGACCACAGGUUGCCUCUCUCAGCACAUGAGGAGCUGUCACGUGUCCUGAGGGAAGAAGGGACACUGACACCCUCUACUGGAAAACAACAACAACAACAAAAACUACAUAACAAGUCCUGGUAGACGCUCAGGAGGCAGAGGCAAGUGGAUCUUUUAUGAGUUCAAGGCCAGCCUGGUCCACAUAGCGUGUUCUAGGACAACCAGCCUACAACAUGAGACCCAACAACAAUAACCACAGCCUUUAAAAACAAAGCAACAACAACAAAACAGAGGUAGUGCUGUCUGUCAAUGGAUACAGAGUGGUCAACUGGGUGGAGGGUGUC